AACGAACGCUGGCGGCAUGCCUAACACAUGCAAGUCGAACGAGACCUUCGGGUCUAGUGGCGCACGGGUGCGUAACGCGUGGGAACCUGCCCUUAGGUUCGGAAUAACUCCCCGAAAGGGGUGCUAAUACCGGAUAAUGUCUUCGGACCAAAGAUUUAUCGCCUUUGGAUGGGCCCGCGUUGGAUUAGCUAGUUGGUAGGGUAAAAGCCUACCAAGGCGACGAUCCAUAGCUGGUCUGAGAGGAUGAUCAGCCACACUGGGACUGAGACACGGCCCAGACUCCUACGGGAGACAGCAGUGGGGAAUAUUGGACAAUGGGCGAAAGCCUGAUCCAGCAAUGCCGCGUGAGUGAUGAAGGCCUUAGGGUUGUAAAGCUCUUUUACCCGGGAUGAUAAUGACAGUACCGGGAGAAUAAGCUCCGGCUAACGCCGUGC
rnacentral:rRNA from 1 species